rnacentral:rRNA from 1 species
AGGACGAACGCUGGCGGCGUGCUUAACACAUGCAAGUUGAACGGACGGAUAUUGAAGCGACUUUCGGAGUGGUGGAUAUAUUGUUUAGUAGCGGACGGGUGAGUAAUGCAUGAGAACCUGCCCUUCAGAGGGGGACAACAGUUGGAAACGGCUGCUAAUACCCCCAUAUGCCGAGAGGUGAAAGGAGCGAUCCGCUGAAAGGAGUGGCUCAUGUCCUAUCAGCUAGUUGGUGAGGUAAGUGCUCACCAAGGCGAUGACGGGUAGCCGGCCUGAGAGGGCGACCGGCCACACUGGAACUGAGAUACGGUCCAGACUCCUACGGGAGGCAGCAGUGGGGAAUAUUGGGCAAUGGGCGGGAAAGCCUGACCCAGCGACGCCGCGUGAGGGAAGAAGGCCUUUGGGUCGUAAACCUCUGUUGUAUGGGAAGAAGGAAGUGACGGUACCAUACGAGGAAGUCCCGGCUAACUACGUGCCAGCCGCAGC